ACCUGACUGGCUCAGUCAGUAGAGCAUGGGACUUUUGAUCUCAGGGUCAUGAGCUCAAGCUUCAUGUUGGGCA
rnacentral:tRNA from 1 species